rnacentral:rRNA from 1 species
GACGAACGCUGGCGGCGUGCCUAAUACAUGCAAGUCGAACGCACUCUCGUUUAGAUUGAAGGAGCUUGCUCCUGAUUGAUAAACAUUUGAGUGAGUGGCGGACGGGUGAGUAACACGUGGGUAACCUGCCCUAAAGUGGGGGAUAACAUUUGGAAACAGAUGCUAAUACCGCAUAAAACCUAAACACCGCAUGGUGUAGGGUUGAAAGAUGGUUUCGGCUAUCACUUUAGGAUGGACCCGCGGUGCAUUAGUUAGUUGGUGAGGUAAAGGCUCACCAAGACCGUGAUGCAUAGCCGACCUGAGAGGGAAUCGGCCACACUGGGACUGAGACACGGCCCAGACUCCUACGGGAGGCAGCAGUAGGGAAUCUUCCACAAUGGACGAAAGUCUGAUGGAGCAACGCCGCGUGAGUGAAGAAGGUUUUCGGAUCGUAAAACUCUGUUGUUGGAGAAGAAUGUAUCUGAUAGUAACUGAUCAGGUAGUGACGGUAUCC